rnacentral:lncRNA from 1 species
AUGGUGUCUAUCCAGCAAACACAUCCACACAGGCCAGUGUUGAGAUGGCUGUAUCAUACAGGUCUUCCAAUCCCUACAAUAGAAGGUCUUCCCCAGUUUGGCCAAGGAAAUUUGGCAAACCCUCCAAGGUUUGGUGAGACAAGGUUGAGUGCUUCCCUGGAUCGUCCCACCACUAGCAUGAUGGACCAUGAGGCUUGCCUGAUGCUGGCCACAACCCCACGUGUGCGUUCAGUGACACAUUGGGCUAUCCCACGCCUUCCCUGAAGUUUGCCCACACCUUCCACCAUGUUGCCGCUUGUCCACUAUGGCGCUGCUUGUCCACUAUGGCGCUGCUUAAUGAUCUCUGGUGCUGAACUCAAAAAGCAUCCCUCCCUCCCUCCCCCUUCCUCUCCCUUUCCUUCUGGCAGCUACCAAACAUACAGUUUGGCUGCUCUGUUGUUUGUCUCCCCAACUCUAAUAAAAUUGUCCCGGAGCUUCCUUUAAGUCUGUUUCUAAAGUCUCAUGUUAACAGGAUUAAGAACCCAAAAGAGGGAACUCCAAUUCUCCUAAAAAGGACAACACUACAGGCAAGAAAAGAGAGGUCAUAGGGUUUAUGUUUUUCAUGCAGUGCUCGAUACAUGGAGCUAGCCAAACCAACUGUUAUCCUGUGGUUAUCCGACCAUCUUGCACCGAGAACAAAUAGAAGCCCCUAAACACCUCAGAGCCUCUUUCAGCCUGCCGGCUUGGCGACAGCCCAUUAGCUGGGUGGUUCAUCCCAGGUCCUGCGCAUCUGUCCUUCUUUCCACUGGCCACCGGUUUGACUUUGCUAGGUGUCGGUGCUUUGAAUUCUGCCGAUAGGGUUUUAGUGAAGAGUGUAUGCCUCUGCCUAAGCUAACAGGAUUUAGCUUUAUGUGACAGGAAGACUAAUAUCGGCCCUGCGCCAUGUGCUGCUGGAGUGUGGAUGCUCUUUGGUAAGCUCCCGGGGUCUGGAAGGAAGCAGCAGCUAUGCUCUUGUUUAAUUCCAUAUGAGCGGCUUUUUUAUUUUUACAAAUAGUCCUCUUGCUGUUAGGGAGUGAGUGAGGGGCAUAAAUCAUCAUGUCUUUGGCAGCCAGGAUUUCGUGGGCAUGGUCCUCAUUAAAGUCUUUAGUUGCAGGGUUCCUGGAGACCUUCCUUUGAUACCAAAAAAACAUCAAACUGAAGCGCCACGGUGAGGGGCGGGGGCAUGAAGAGGAAGGGGUGGAAACGCAGGAGGACCCCAGAAUUGCUGUUGGGAAACAGCAGGGAAACACUAGAAUGAUUAUUUUUCAGCUACAAAAAAAGUAAAAAUUGCAGGCGCUAUACAACUUCCUUGCUGCGGAGUCCAGUCAGCCCCGACAAAGGCUCAGACAGCUCCAGCAGCAGGAAGGACGGCUACAGGAGAUGCUGAGGGGGGAGGGUGGGAAGGAAAA